GUGCUUCAGCAGCACAUAUACUAAAAAAAUUGGAAUGAUACAGAUAAGAUUAGCAUGGUCCCUGCACAAGGAUGACACACAAAUUUGUAAAGCAUUCCAUUUGGCU